GUGGGGAAUAUUGGACAAUGGGCGAAAGCCUGAUCCAGCAAUGCCGCGUGAGUGAUGAAGGCCUUAGGGUUGUAAAGCUCUUUUACCAGGGAUGAUAAUGACAGUACCUGGAGAAUAAGCUCCGGCUAACUCCGUGCCAGCAGCCGCGGUAAUACGGAGGGAGCUAGCGUUGUUCGGAAUUACUGGGCGUAAAGCGCACGUAGGCGGUUACUCAAGUCAGAGGUGAAAGCCCGGGUCUCAACCCCGGAACUGCCUUUGAAACUAGGUAACUGGAAUAUUGGAGAGGUCAGUGGAAUUCCGAGUGUAGAGGUGAAAUUCGUAGAUAUUCGGAAGAACACCAGUGGCGAAGGCGACUGACUGGACAAGUAUUGACGCUGAGGUGCGAAAGCGUGGGGAGCAAACAGGAUUAGAAACCCCAGUAGUCC
rnacentral:rRNA from 1 species